CUAUAAUGCAGUCGAGCGGACAGAUGGGAGCUUGCUCCCUGAUGUUAGCGGCGGACGGGUGAGUAACACGUGGGUAACCUGCCUGUAAGACUGGGAUAACUCCGGGAAACCGGGGCUAAUACCGGAUGGUUGUUUGAACCGCAUGGUUCAAACAUAAAAGGUGGCUUCGGCUACCACUUACAGAUGGACCCGCGGCGCAUUAGCUAGUUGGUGAGGUAACGGCUCACCAAGGCAACGAUGCGUAGCCGACCUGAGAGGGUGAUCGGCCACACUGGGACUGAGACACGGCCCAGACUCCUACGGGAGGCAGCAGUAGGGAAUCUUCCGCAAUGGACGAAAGUCUGACGGAGCAACGCCGCGUGAGUGAUGAAGGUUUUCGGAUCGUAAAGCUCUGUUGUUAGGGAAGAACAAGUACCGUUCGAAUAGGGCGGUACCUUGACGGUACCUAACCAGAAAGCCACGGCUAACUACGUGCCAGCAGCCGCGGUAAUACGUAGGUGGCAAGCGUUGUCCGGAAUUAUUGGGCGUAAAGGGCUCGCAGGCGGUUUCUUAAGUCUGAUG
rnacentral:rRNA from 1 species